AUAGUUUUGCACUUCUAGGGAAGAAGAAAUCAAGCAAUUUGACAUUACCACCCAAAUAUAACCAGCCAUUCUUUGUUACUUCCUUACCUGAUGAUAAGUAAGUGAUAACAUUGCUUAUACUUACUGCCCAUCGUAUACACUGUAGUCCUUUUAAUGUCAGUUUAUGACAUCUAGGCUAAAUUUAGAGGAUGUAGUCAUUUUUUUUUUGGCUGAAGUAUUUCUUCCUUUGAUUUUUGAAGUCUUAGCUAUGGGAAUGAAUUCAGUGUGGAAUUGUUUUCAUGUUUUUCCCCUUACUUGUCUUUGUGAAACUUUCUCUUUUGUUGCUUUUUUUCUCUUUGAAUUCUCUUGUUUAGAAUACCUAAAGGGGCAGGACCUGGAUGCUAUCUUGCAGGAUCCUUAACAUUGUCAAAGACUGAACUAGGAAAGAAAGCUGAUGUAAUCCCUGUUCAUUACUACUUAAUACCUCCACCAACAAAGACUAAGAAUGGCAGCAAAGAUAAGG
rnacentral:lncRNA from 1 species